AUAUAUAUAUAUAUAUAUAUAUAUAUAUAUAUAUUGACAUUCUGCCUUUUAAAACCAUCGUAAGCAGCCAUUUAAGUAGUAAUUUGUGUGUCUAUAGUUGGACUUAUAGACACAGAUUCAACAUAUCACAUGGUAUUUCAAUGUGUGCUAGUGCUGCAGAUAUGGAAAAAAGAAAGAAAGUCUAUCCUAAAGGGAAUAUAAAUAAAGAAUAGUAAACAAAUACAAAAAAUUAACAGUAAUAAUAAUAAUAUAGUAUGUUAUUUCUGUAUUGUGCCUCCACGCAGGUCUAGAACGCCGAUUGUAUAGUAUUGCAUUGCUCAUGGUUUUAAAAGGAAAGAACAGAGCAAAGCCCGGCUGUGGAGACGGAGGAACUAGAGCCAAAAGAGGAAGAAAAGUCGCAGCAGACCACCGCCUCUCCACCUCCAAGUCCUGAACCAGUUCAGAUUGCUGCGCCGGAACCAGAACCAGAACCAGAACCAGAACCAGAACCAGAGCCAGAGGUCGAGCCCCAGGAAGCGCACUCAGAAGCCGAGCCUGUGACCCAGCAGCCACAGAGAGCAGAGGAAGGCGGUCAAAGCACUGAGGCGGACAAAGCUGGUGAAAAAUUUUACUUUACCCUACAUCCUUGACCAGCAUCAACAUGGCAGAUAACAUCUUCUGCCGUACAACCCUUUCCACCAGUUAUACCUAUAAUCAUUAUCUUAUCUUAUCAAAUGAUCUAGCCAUGGGACUCUGACAUGUUUAGCCCAUGCAGGACCGAAGGGAGAAACCAAUUCAUGUAAUUGAAUAGCUUCAGGCUCAUUCAAAUUCAUACGUACGAGUCAUUCUUUCAGAGGAUAUUCACAUAUCUCACAUCCGAUCCCAGCUAAUCCUCACCCUUCCACUGACAUUCAUUUCAAUGCUUUGUGUUCAUUGUAGGAGGAGGAAGCUCCUGGAGACGACUGUGGUGGUGUGUACCUUUCUAAUUUGUUGUAUUUUUUGUUGAUAUUCUGUAUCUGACGGUAAUUAGAGCUGCCAUAUUCCUGCUCUAAUUACCAGCCUCAUCCCUGUAUUUCAUACUGUUGCGUUUAACUCAC
ensembl:lncRNA